rnacentral:rRNA from 1 species
CAGUCGCCGCGGUAAGACGAACCGUGCAAACGUUACUCGGUAUCACUGGGCUUAAAGCGCACGUAGGCGGCGACAUAAGUUAGAGGUGAAAUCCCAUCGGCUCAACCGUGGAACUGCCUCUAAUACUGUGUUGCUUGAGGGAGAACGGGGCAUUCGGAACUUCCGGUGGAGCGGUGAAAUGUGUUGAUAUCGGAAGGAACGCCGGUGGCGAAAGCGGAAUGCUGGGUCUCUUCUGACGCUGAGGUGCGAAAGCUAGGGUAGCGAACGGGAUUAGAUACCCGCGUAGUCCCUGUCUCUUAUA